rnacentral:rRNA from 1 species
GUUGAUCCUGCGGGAGAUUGCUGCUAUUGGGAUUCGAUUAAGCCAUGCAAGUCUGGGGGCGCAAGCCACCGGCAGAAUGCUCAGUAACACGUCACUAACCUGCCAUAAGGUCAAGAAUAACCUUGGAAAACUGAGGCUAAUACUUGAUAUGAAAUUAUGCCUGGAAUGGUUUAUUUCAGAAAGGCAACGCCUUAUGAUGGGGUGGCGGCCGAUUAGGCUGUUGGCGGGGUAAUGGCCCACCAAACCUACGAUCGAUACGGGCCCUGAGAGGGGUAGCCCGGAGAAGGACACUGAGAUACUGGUCCUAGCCCUACGGGGUGCAGCAGGCGCGAAACCUUUACAAUGCACGAAAGUGUGAUAAGGGAAUCCCAAGUGCUUACGCUUAGCGUGGGCUUUUGCCAAGGGUAAACUCCUUGGCGAAUAAGUGGUGGGCAAGACUGGUGCCAGCCGCCGCGGUAACACCAGCGCCACGAGUGGGGAUCGCUAUUAUUGGGCCUAAAGCGUCCGUAGCCUGUCUAGUAAAUCCUUUGUGAAAUCGCCUGGCUUAACCAUGCGGCAUGCAGGGGAGACUGCUAGACUUGGAACCGGGAGGGGCUAGAGGUAUGUUCAGGGGAGCGGUAAAAUGCUAUAAUCCUGGAUAGACCACCUGUGGCGAAGGCGUCUAGCUAGAACGGAUUCGACGGUGAGGGACGAAAGCCAGGGGAGCGAACCGGAUUAGAUACCCGAGUAGUCCUGGCCGUAAACGCUGCGAGCAAGGUGUUGCACAUUCUUCGUGGAUGUGCAGUGUCGAAGCGAAGGCAUUAAGCUCGCCGCCUGGGAAGUAUAGUCGCAAGACCGAAACUUAAAGGAAUUGGCGGGGGAGCACCACAAGGGGUGCGGCGUGCGGUUUAAUCUAACUCAACACAGAGAAUCUCACCAGAGGCGAUGGCAGUAUGAUGGUCAGUCUAAAGGGCUUACCGGACGAGCCGAGAGGUAGUGCAUGGCCGCCGUCAGCUCGUGCCGUAAGGUGUCCUCUUAAGUGAGGCAACGAGCGAGACCUGUACCUACAAUUGCUAGCGGCUUUAAGGACCGAGCACAUUGUAGGGACUGCCUUGGAAACAAGGAGGAAGGUGCAGGCUACGGUAGGUCUGUAUGCUCCGAAUCUUCUGGGCUACACGCGCGCAACAAUGGUAGGGACAAUGGGAUACGACCCUGAAAAGGGAAGUUAAUCCUCGAAACCCUAUCCAAGUCCAGAUUGAGGACUGUAACUCGUCCUCAUGACGACGGAAUCCCUAGUAAUCGGAAGUCAUCAGCUUCCAGUGAAUAUGUCCCUGCUCCUUGCACACACCGCCCGUCAAACCAACCGAGCAGGGUUUAGGUGAGUCUAUAUUUUUUGAUACAGCCGAACCUAAGCUCAGUAAGGUGGGUUAAGUC